AUAAACAUAUCAGUGUCAGGACUGAAAGGGUCCCUGGGGACCAUUCAAUCCCAUUUACAGCUGAGAAAUCAAGGCCCAGAGAAGGGAAGUGACAAACUGAUGGCUGGAACCCAGGUCUCCUGGAGCCAAGAUUCUUUUUACCAUUAUCUCCCACCUCCCAGGGUCAGCCAAGCACCCCCAUCCUGAUUGAUCUUUAGGGCCCCAAGGCAGAGGGAACAUUGCAUCUCAGACCAUCACAGAGUUCUUGUCGUCCAGUGUGCCCCGACCAUAGAUGAUGCCAUCACGCUCCAACCCAGAGAAUGGGGGCACCUCCCAGCCUUCUUCAGGGGCAGGCACCACAUCAAAGUGAGCCAUCAGCAGGUAGGGCUGCAAGCUGGGGUCCGAGCCUUGGAUAGUGAACAGGUGGCUAUACUCUUCCACGACUUCAUGCUGGAUAAAGCUGGUGCUGACCACUGUAGGAAAGACUAGAAGCAAAAAGGGCAGGAAGAGAGAACCAGGGUUAACAGUUUCCUUAGGUUUUCCUACCAAGUUGUGCUUCCUGUUCCUUUAUUUAUUUAUUUUUUUAAACAUGCAUCCUCCUUUAGGAAGCCUUCUAGGAC
rnacentral:lncRNA from 10 species